rnacentral:lncRNA from 1 species
AUCCAUAGAGAAGGAACAUAUACUAUUGUUUGUCAGAUGCCAGAGAAAGGGGAAAUGUGUACAGAGUUUUACUUUGGAGUGACAGAAAUGUUUUGGAGCUAAAUAGAGGUAAUCAUGACACAGCAUUGUAACAAUUAGUACAACCCAGUACCAAAUUCCACCCAAUUGUUCCUUUUUAAACUAUUUUAGGUUUUGUGAAUUUCCAUGAAUGCAUUGUUUUAAAAAUAUUGUUGUACUGGAGGGGGUAGUAGAGGGUCGUUUGACCUGUAAAAGACUACAUUCUAUCGCAGACUUAGUCAAGCGGUGGGCCCAGUUGUAGCUGCAGCACUCCAGGUGGUAGUCAUCUAAAAGACUAAUAAGGUCUCAGGUAUGUGACAUGCAGCCACUGAUUGGGCAAAUGUGUUCUCUCUCUCUCUCUCUUUUUUUUUUUUUUUUUUUUUUUUUGUCUUUUUGCCUUUUUAGAGCUGUAUCUGUGAUAUAUGGAUGUCCCCAGGCUAGGGGCCCAACUGGAGCUGUAGCUGCAGGCCUACACCACAGCCACAUCAAUGCCGGAUCCAGGCAGCGUCUGCAACCUAUACCACGGCUCACAGCAACGCAGGAUCCUUAACCUACUGAGCAAGGUCAGGGAUGGAACCCACAUCCUCAUGGAUGCUAGUUGGGUUCGCUAACCACUGAGCCACAAGGGGAAUUCUAAAUGUGAUCUUUUCCAUUCAAAUUAGAAAACCAUGUCAGAAGCAGUUUGCAUUCAUGUGGGAUAGACACUACUAUUUAUUUAUGCUUAUGCCUCAGGACUGUGUUAGGCUUCCUGCCUUUUGUUAUAAUAUUGUCCUAAGAGAUCUGGACCACCUGGACAUCUCGAUGUCAUGCUGCUCCAUUACACCAAUGACAUUAUGCUCAGUUGGCAAGAUGAGAAAUAAGCAACUAGUGUUCUCUAAGCCUUGGCAAGAUAUCCAUCCCAGAGAUGGGAAAGUAAACCUUCCAAGUUACAGAGACUGGACAUGUCAGUGUAAUUUGAAGGAUCUAGUAUCAGAAGACUACCAUGAUGUGUAUUUCAAAGUAAAAAACAAACUGCUGCACCUUUUUGCUUUUAUUUUCUUUUUCUCUUUAUGGCCACACCUGCGGCAUAUGGAAGUUCCUGGGCUGGGGUCAAAUUGGAGCUGCAGCCAACGCUGGUUCCAAGCUGCAUCUGUGACCUAUGCCACAGCUUAUAGCAAUGCCGGAUCCUUAACCCACUGAGAGAGGCCAGGGAUUGAACCCACCUCCUCACAGAGACAAUGUCAGGUCCUUAACCCAUUGAGCAAUAAGGAGAAAUCCCCAUUUGCUGCAUCUUGAAUCUUCCACCACAAAGAAGAAAAUAUAGUGCUUGACAGACCCCUUUGGGACUAUAGGCAGCACAACCACACCUCAGAAUAAUUACUGGGGGACACAAAAGACUGUAAGGUUUCCUGGAGUAGGAAGGGUCACUAGCGUAAGUCCAGAUCAUAGUGCAAUCAGUGCUGCAGCUUGGGUCACAUAAUCUAGCAAAGGCUAUGGCACCAGAAGUGUCAGUGGUGGGAAAGGAUGCACCAUAGUGGCUGUAAUGGGAGAGCCCCAAGGCAGGCCCCUGGAAUUCUAGGGCCAUGCUGUCAACCAUGAGAAUUAUAAAUCUUUAAGAGAGAAACAUCUUUUGACAUCAAACUGAGUCCUGGUAAAGUUGGAGCACUGGAAUGUGGGACAGGAAGUGACAAUGCCUUUGGAAUUUCCCAUUAUGAGCUGGGUUCUGUUAGGUUCACAGUCAUGAGUUCGGAGAGGCCUAGGGACACCUGUCCAUAAUAGAAUGGACCUGCACGUUCAGGAAGGAAAUUGAGCAGGACCAGAGGACACAAGUUACAUCCAUGAACACAUGGGCCAGACCCUAUGCCACCUAUAGAUUUUCAUCAGUCCUUCUCCCUCAGUUUGUAGCUAUGGCCACACAGACAUUUCCUUCAGCUAAGGGAGGAGAGAAGCAGCCCGCCUUGGCUGACGGAUAGUUCAGCUUGGUCUGCGGGUGCAAACAAAACUUAAUCUACUUGCCUUUUUUUUUUUUUUUUUUUUGGAAGAAGAAAUGGCCUCAGAUGUCCUGUCAAGGGCCUAGGAAAAAAAAGAACUAGAAGAUUGGAGUCAUCUUCCAGAUAAAGACAUGAGUGGGUCCUAUGGAAGUGGGUGCACAAUGUUACAUGUGAAUCCCCACCAGAAAGCAGGCACCACAGGAUGGAGACUGAACAGCCAGACAAUGUGAAUGACCAGGUUCUUUAGCCAGCUUUCGUCAUCAUCCACUGUACAAGUGGCAUGACAAGCUUAUGAACAGAGUGGUCAUGAUGACAAAGUAAGAGGCUAUUAAUGGGCCCAACAGUGCAGACUCCCACUCACCAAGGCAAAUCUAUUAAUACCCCUGGGUGUCCGACUUAUCAGUAACAGAGAAUAAUGGAACAUGGACCUUUGGAUAUGACACUGUCCAUUGGGGAGACCAACAGGCUACUUGGCGGCAAGUUGAUUACACUGAAUCCUUUUUUAUUCCCAAAAGGCCAUCUGUUAAACCUCAUGUGGAUACUACAUAUAUUCUGGGUAUGGGUUUUCUUUUCCUGCCCACACAGCUAAGCUGGCACUACUCUCUGAGAGCUUAAACAUACCUGAUCUACAGACAGGACUUCACACACACCAUUGGAUCAGGGAAUGCUAUGAAGUGAAGGAAGUGCAAAAGGAGAAGAAGGUGCUAGAGUGUUCCCUAUCUAGGAGAGUCACAGGUUGUAGGUGACACACUGAGGGGCUUCUGGCCUCACAGAACACUAAGAUGACCUCCUAGAAGUACAACAGAAAUGCCAACUCAAAACAAACACUGAGCCAGGAAUGGGUGCCACUCUUCCUAACACAGGGCAUUUAUUAAAACAAAGAUCUCUCUAUAAGGUGCUCUGUCCCCAACAGUAAGUAGAGAAACCAAGGGGUAGAGACAUGAGUGGCCCUGCUUAUCAUAAUUCCCAGUGGUUCACCAGGGGAUCUUAAAUUUUUGUCCCCAUAGCUCCUGGUCCCCAAAAGGGCACACUAUCGUUAAGGGACACACCUGGGAAUCUUACUGAACUAAAAGUCAACCUGUUUCCAGGGCACUUUGGACUCCUUGUUCACAGGAAAAGGCAGGCGAAAAAGGGGUCACUCUAUUAGCAGGGGUAAUUGACCUUGAUCAUCAGGAUAAGAUAAGGCUCCUUUUAUUCAAUAUGGUGGCAAAGAGAAGUACCUGUGGACUUGCACCUCCUGGCACUCCCUUUCUUCAUUAAACUGUGCAUUGUUAUGUGCAGCCAUCCAGAAUUGACACGAGAAGCUUCAGACCCUUUAGGAAGGUUGGUUUUGCUCCCACCUCAGGUGAACCACCCAGCGGGAGCUGAGGGGGGAACCAAUGGUGUAGAGAUUAGAAUGGACUACAGCGGAUCAGUUGCAACCUGAGAUCAGCUGUAGCAAUUGGGCCUCUAGUUCCUCUGACCGAACAUCAUUUUCUAGUUUCCCUUCAGAAAAGAAGGACACAAAAGACAUGGAGGAACUGCCUCUGGGCCUGAGUAAAGAAGCAGAUCUGAACAGUGCAAGGAGGCAGGAUGUGUCUCAUUGGCCUUUUCCUACAGAGCAUAACUAAGGGCCUCAGUGGCUGAGUUCUGGAAUCCAUUGCUGGGUUAUCUCGAGAUCACCCCCGCCUCGGGCUGCUUCCAGCCAAUGACAGGGAUGGCAGGUAUAUUAAGAACUUCUACAUAUUGACAUAGAAAAUUAUAAACCAAUCAAUAGCACAAGAGAUUAGAGAAAUCAUCAGGCAUUUAUCAGAAAAGAGAGGCAAAGAGGAAACAUGAAAAAGUGCUUAGCCAGCAAAUAACCAGGUCACUCAAAUGGAGCCAACGGUUUGCUAUUUUAAGUGAUCAGAUGCACAGAUAAUAAUGAGGACAAUGAGGAAGAGGAGGAGAAGGAGAAGUAGUGAUUCAACAGUCCCCCAAAUCAUUGAAGUUGUAAGGAAACAGGCACUCAUAUAUGUAGCAGUGUAUAUUGAUCUAGUUAUACUGGAAGAGCAGCAUGGUAAAUUUAGUAAAGUUCAAGAUAUCUAAUUCCUAAACCCUAGAGGAUGAGCCAAGUUUCAGCUGAAUAUAAUGAAGAUAAAACUAGUGAUCAGAAGCAGAAAGAAAUUCAAAACAGGAAGGUAGGGGCAUACAAUACUCUCAGGAAGGCUGAGGGAACAGGCCGCAUGCAGGGCACCUGAAAAUGACUUCAACUGCUGCCUGUGUUUCUGACCCACCUAGGAUGCUGCUCUCUCUGCCAAAAUGAGGUUGCAGGGGAAUCGGGGUGGAAGACCAUCCUACAGCUGUUAUCCCAGGGUCAGGAAACUGUCUCCACAAUGGGCAACUUCAGGGCCACCACCCAAGUACAGUUCAUGGGCAAAAAUGCGCCCCGCCUCGGGAUCUGGGGGAUGCUGUCUGCUGCUGGAAAAAUAAAGAAAAAGCUUCUGUGCCUUGCUUGUCAGCAGAACAGCCCAGCUUGCACCUCACUUUUUCCCUUCCAAGUUUCCACAUGCAUAUCUAACUGGAAAAUCUAAAACAAGUCUGCUAAGAGAGAUUGAAGGGAGCCUCUAACUUUCCAGGUUUGGUGACCAUGGCCAGGCAAAGAAGGAGACAUCUAAAAUGGAAGUUGAGCACUGAUCUACCAAAUCUAUCACAUUUAGCAAGUUCACGUCUAAGCAUACACCUUGGCCAUUCUAUCCAUAGGGAAGGUGCUGGUAUUUCGGAUGGCCACUUCUUUUUUGGGCCGAUGUUUACCUUAGGAUGGAAAGCCUCUCUGGCCCUCUGGUACCAAUUACCAGUACCAUUCUCCAGACAUCACCAUGAACAAGAUGCAGAGACUCACCUGCAAACACUCCCUAGGAAGAGAAGAUAUUCCCCACCUAUGAACCAUUUCUCUGAUGUAUCCUAGCCUAUUUGCACACAGCUAUUUGCAGAAGUGUUGGCUACUAUAAUUAAAAAAUCAUGGAGUUCCCAUCAUGGCUCAGGGGUUAACAAAUCUGACUAGGAACCACGAGGUUGCAGGUUCGAUCCCUGGCCUCGCUCAGUGGGUUAAGGAUCCGGCGUUGCCAUGAGCUGUGGUGUAGGUCACAGACGCAGCUCGGAUCCCAUGUUGCUGUGGCUCUGGCGUAGGCCGGUGGCUACAGCUAUGAUUAGACCCCUGGCCUGGGAACCUCCA